rnacentral:rRNA from 1 species
CCCUUAGAUGAUUUGGGCUGCACGCGCGCUACACUGACCCUAACAAUGAGCGACUGUCUGGCCUGAGAUGGCUGGGUAGCCUUUUCAACCCAUGUCAUGAUUGGGCUAGAUUUUUGUAAGUCUUGAUCUCUAACGAGGAAUCCCUAGUAUGCGUGAAUCAUCAAUCCAUGCAGAUUAUGUCCCUGCCCUUUGUACACACCGCCCGUCGCUCCUACUGAUUGGGUGAUCCGGUGAGCUGUUCGGCCAUAGCAAUGUUUCUUGAGCAGGGCAAUGAAUGUUUCGCAAACCUUGCCACUUAGAGGAAGGAGAAGUCGUAACA